GAUGAACGCUGGCGGCGUGCCUAAUACAUGCAAGUCGAGCGAAUGGAUUAAGAGCUUGCUCUUAUGAAGUUAGCGGCGGACGGGUGAGUAACACGUGGGUAACCUGCCCAUAAGACUGGGAUAACUCCGGGAAACCGGGGCUAAUACCGGAUAACAUUUUGAACCGCAUGGUUCGAAAUUAAAAGGCGGCUUCGGCUGUCACUUAUGGAUGGACCCGCGUCGCAUUAGCUAGUUGGUGAGGUAACGUCUCACCAAGGCAACGAUGCGUAGCCGACCUGAGAGGGUGAUCGGCCACACUGGGACUGAGACACGGCCCAGACUCCUACGGGAGGCAGCAGUAGGGAAUCUUCCGCAAUGGACGAAAGUCUGACGGAGCAACGCCGCGUGAGUGAUGAAGGCUUUCGGGUCGUAAAACUCUGUUGUUAGGGAAGAACAAGUGCUAGUUGAAUAAGCUGGCACCUUGACGGUACCUAACCAGAAAGCCACGGCUAACUACGUGCCAGCCGCCGCGGUAA
rnacentral:rRNA from 1 species